UUUUUUAAAGGACGUAGUAUCUUUAAUUUUAAUUUUAAUCCUGCUUUUUUUUUUAAGAUUUUAUUUAUUUAGCGAGAGAGCACAAGCAGGGAGGGGGCAGAGGGGAAGGGAGAACGCAGGGAUCUCAAGCAGCUUCCGUGCUGAGCUCGGAGCUGACUCGCGCUCGACCCCACAAUCCCGAGCCCGUGACCCGAGACAGAGCAAGAGUCAGACCCUUAACUGCCUGAGCCAGGCCCCUCCCCCAUCCUACUCUUGCUUUCUUACGUGUCUAUUAUUUUCAAGUGUUUCUGUAAAAUAAAAUUAAAUCUUAGGUUGCUAAAGAGAAAAAGGACCGAGGGAGAAUGGACAUUUAGAGUUUGUUUUUUAUUUCAUUGCCCAAAAAUAAGCCGGAAAGGCACUUGGGAAUUCUUGAAAGGCUAAACCCCAGGCGGUAGGACCGAGUCUGGAAGCGAGAUUCCCGGCCGUGGACGCCAGCUGUGCCUCACGGCCCGGAGCCUCGGAUCGUCUCUUAACCUCUCCGUGUCCUCAAGAGUGACUCCUGGGGGUCACACCCUGACACCUGCCACAGGCCGCGGAGAUCGCACGCGGCCACACGCAGCUCCAGGACAGCGCCCGGCAGGUGGGACGUUCUCAGUAACCGCCGCCUCGCGGUCCGGCCUCCCCGGGGCAUGUGCUCCCCGAGGACAGAAACCCCCGGUUCGCACUGCCCCAUCCCCAGCACCCAGAAGACAGCAGUGACGGUUUGCAGCUCAGUUCACUGAAGUUCCACGAGUACCCACGAGCACUCACGACAGGCCCGACGGGCCCAGACGUCCAGCGAUGGGUACUACAUGGUUUUGAGGGCUGCCUCAGAGGAAGUAUCUCCCUUCAGUGGCGAGACACGAAGACUCUUCACCAAGUCUUCGCCUCCCCUCUGACGCCAUAGGACAGCUCAGCACCUUGUUUUUCUUGGAUUAGGCUACUUUGGUACCGUGAGAAAGAUCCUCUGGUCUCCUCUAAACCCUGAUCUGCGGCUAAGUGACGGAGGAAAGGAGAGCCUGAAUGUUCUUUGUGAAAUCCUGCCUGUGCAGGGCUAUUUUAAAAAUCUUACUAAUGGUCAUAAAGGAUCUUGAAAACUGAAGGCUGAAUAAAUUACGAUGAUGGAAAUGAAUGAGCAGAAAAUCUACGGUCUGGGAAUCUUUAUAUGUAUGAUAAAUCAACUCGGCAUCUAAGUCCUGAUUUUCAGACGGAGCCACACAGCCCCUGCUGGGGAAUUCUUAAGGCCUGCUGCCCGCCUGGAUAUUCCAUUUUAUUAUAUUCUCCUCAUUUUUUUUUUCCAAGAAUGCUCGGACC